rnacentral:rRNA from 1 species
UCUCGGGCUUCGGCUCGACUCUCCCACCCUUUGUGAACGUACCUCUGUUGCCUUGGCGGCUCCGGCCGCCAAAGGACCUUCAAACUCCAGUCAGUAAACGCAGACGUCUGAUAAACAAGUUAAUAAACUAAAACUUUCAACAACGGAUCUCUUGGUUCUGGCAUCGAUGAAGAACGCAGCGAAAUGCGAUAAGUAAUGUGAAUUGCAGAAUUCAGUGAAUCAUCGAAUCUUUGAACGCACAUUGCGCCCCUUGGUAUUCCGGGGGGCAUGCCUGUUCGAGCGUCAUUACAACCUUCAAGCUCUGCUUGGAAUUGGGCACCGUCCUCACUGCGGACGCGCCUCAAAGACCUCGGCGGUGGCUGUUCAGCCCUCGAGCGUAGUAGAAUACACCUCGCUCUGGAGCGGUUGGCGUCGCCCGCCGGACGAACCUUCUGAACUUUUCUCAAGGUGACCUCGGAUCAGGUAGGAAUACCCGCUGAACUUAAGCAUAUCAAUAAGCGGAGGAGAUCAUUACCGAGUUCUCGGGCUUCGGCUCGACUCU